UUCCGGUUGAUCCUGCCGGAGGCCACUGCUAUCGGGGUCCGCCUAAGCCAUGCGAGUCGACCGGGCUUCCCUCCUCCAGGAGGGAAGUCAGGGGCGGACGGCUCAGUAACACGUGGGUAAUCUACCCUCGGGUCGGGGAUAACCCCGGGAAACUGGGGCUAAUACCCGAUAGGGGGAGAGGUCUGGAAGGAUCCUCCCCCGAAAGCUCCGGCGCCCGAGGAUGAGCCUGCGGCCGAUUAGGUUGUUGGUGGUGUAACGGACCACCAAGCCUGCGAUCGGUACGGGCAGUGGGAGCUGUCGCCCGGAGAUGGGGGCUGAGACACGGCCCCAGGCCCUACGGGGCGCAGCAGGCGCGAAACCUCCCCAAUGCCUGGAAUCGGAAGGCUGAAGCCUUCCGCCAGACGGGUGAGGGGGGGACCCCGAGUGGCCAUGCUCUGCAUGGCCUUUUGCCCUGUGUAAACAGCAGGGCGAAUAAGCGGUGGGCAAGACGGGUGCCAGCCGCCGCGGUAAUACCCGCGCCGCGAGUGGUGACCGCGUUUAUUGGGCCUAGAGCGUCCGUAGCCGGGUGGGCAAGUUCCCCGUGAAAUCGGCUAGUAGACUAGCCGGCGUGCGGGGAAGACUGCCCGCCUUGGGACCGGGAGAGGCCGGAGGUAUUCCCCGGGUAGGGGUAAAAUCCUUUAAUCCGGGGAGGACCACCUGUGGCGAAGGCGUCCGGCUGGAACGGGUCCGACGGUGAGGGACGAAAGCCAGGGGAGCGAACGGGAUUAGAUACCCCGGUAGUCCUGGCCGUAAACGAUGCCCGCUUGGUGUUGGACAUCCCUCGGGAUGUCCAGUGCCGGAGCGAAGGUGUUAAGCGGGCCGCCUGGGGAGUACGGCCGCAAGGCUGAAACUUAAGGGAAUUGGCGGGGGAGCACACAAGGGGUGGAGGCUGCGGUUCAAUUGGAGUCAACGCCGGG
rnacentral:rRNA from 1 species